rnacentral:rRNA from 1 species
UACAGAGGUGGCGAGCGUUGUUCGGAUUUACUGGGCGUAAAGGGCGCGUAGGCGGCCUUGUGUGUCGCGUGUGAAAUCCCCGGGCUCAACCCGGGAAGUGCGCGCGAAACUGCGGGGCUCGAGCGGAGGAGGGGAGAGCGGAAUUCAUGGUGUAGCGGUGAAAUGCGUUGAUAUCAUGAGGAACACCGGUGGCGAAGGCGGCUCUCUGGAAUCCUGCUGACGCUGAGGCGCGAAAGCCCGGGGGAGCAAACGAGGAUUAGAUACCCCGGUAGU